GAUGAACGCUGGCGGCGUGCCUAAUACAUGCAAGUCGAGCGAAUGGAUUAAGAGCUUGCUCUUAUGAAGUUAGCGGCGGACGGGUGAGUAACACGUGGGUAACCUGCCCAUAAGACUGGGAUAACUCCGGGAAACCGGGGCUAAUACCGGAUAACAUUUUGAACCGCAUGGUUCGAAAUUGAAAGGCGGCUUCGGCUGUCACUCAUGGAUGGAUCCGCGUCGCAUUAGCUAGUUGGUGAGGUAACGGCUCACCAAGGCAACGAUGCGUAGCCGACCUGAGAGGGUGAUCGGCCACACUGGGACUGAGACACGGCCCAGACUCCUACGGGAGGCAGCAGUAGGGAAUCUUCCGCAAUGGACGAAAGUCUGACGGAGCAACGCCGCGUGAGUGAUGAAGGCUUUCGGGUCGUAAAACUCUGUUGUUAGGGAAGAACAAGUGCUAGUUGAAUAAGCUGGCACCUUGACGGUACCUAACCAGAAAGCCACGGCUAACUACGUGCCAGCCGCCGCCGUAA
rnacentral:rRNA from 1 species